UACGUAGGGGGCAAGCGUUGUCCGGAUUUAUUGGGCGUAAAGAGCGUGUAGGCGGCUUUACAGGUCCGUUGUGAAAACUCGGGGCUUAACCCCGGGCCUGCAGUGGGUACGGGCAGACUAGAGUGCGGUAGGGGAGACUGGAAUUCCUGGUGUAGCGGUGAAAUGCGCAGAUAUCAGGAGGAACACCGGUGGCGAAGGCGGGUCUCUGGGCCGUAACUGACGCUGAGGAGCGAAAGCAUGGGGAGCGAACAGG
rnacentral:rRNA from 1 species